rnacentral:lncRNA from 10 species
GCAGACCUGCUGCCCGCGGCCAGGCCGGGCAGCUGUUGAUCCCCGGGCCAUUCUUUUAAAGCCCAGGCAGAGCGCGGGUGGGAAGCGUGCGAGGAGAGCUGAGCCAGGGAGUUGCGGGGAGGAGAAGAAUUAGAGGAGACAGCACUGAUGGGAGUGACAGAAGCGGUGCCGGUUAACUCCCCACCAUCAAAAGUAUCUUCUGCUGUAGUCUGGCACAAGUUUCAAGCAUCCACUGGGGGUCUUGGGAUGCGUCGCCCUGCAGAUAAGGGCAACUGCUGUGCAGCAUGAACAGUAUGGAGACAAUACUUAUCUUCAUGGAGUUUAUAUUAGAGUAAGACAAGAGGCACAACAGAUUCCUGUAGUGAGCUGCAUGCAAGGAAGAAGCCUGGUAGGAGUGAAAGGUUAAUAGCCAAGAAAGAAAGAAGGAAGAAGAAAACAGCUCCCCGUACAGAGACAGAGGAAGGGGGGAUUUGAACAAAGAAAAAACCCCGUGUGCGUCGGAAAAGUGGCUGCUUAUACGUAUCCCAAAUCUAAAGGAAGUUUUUUUUUUUUUUGAGACGGAGUCUCGCUCUGUCCCCCAGGCCGGAGUGCAGUGGCGCAAUCUCUGCUCACUGCAAGCUCCGCCUUCCGGGUUCACGGCAUUCUCCUGCCUCAGCCUCCCGAAUAGCUGGGACCACAGGCACCCGCCACCACGCCCGGCUAAUUUUUUGUAUUUUUAGUAAAGACGGGGUUUCACCGUGUUAGCCAGGAUGGUCUUGAUCUCCUGACCUCGUGAUCCACCCACCUCGGCCUCCCAAAGUGCUGGGAUUACAGGCGUAAGCCACUGCACCCAGCCAAUCUAAAGGAAGUUUUAAAAGGUUACUUCCUUUUGAUUUCUGUUAAGAAAAGGGAGUGUUUAUGUGUUUGUUUCCAAAUAUUAUUUCUCAGCUGAAAAUCCAUUUUUUAAAACACUACCUUAAAAGUUCUUCUACCACUCCUGUGGAAAUAUAUGAGCCCAUCUUCAAGAAAUAACAGUUUGAAAUGUGAAAACUUAAGCUUUCCUUUAAGAAAGAGGAAUAUGAACUAGAACGGCAAUGAGGCUUCUGUGUUGUUGUUGUUUAUUUUUUGACUAGCCUUGAUUAAAAAGGGAACAAUUGUGUACUUCUGGUUAGCCUGGGGAAAGUUACAGCAGCCUAAAUUCAAAUCUCUGCAUAUAUCAACCAACAAGUAGAGCAAUACAACCACAUACAUGGCAAAAAAACUUCAAAUUACCUAUGAAUCGAAAAGGAGGCAACGAAUCUAUAGAGUUAUACCUCAAGUCCCUGACCUAAGCCUUUGCAGAGAAUGAGGGGAGACCCAUAGAAGGAUAAAGAAGAAAAGGAAAGACAGGGGUCAAAAUUGGAAAUAAAAUAACCCAAGAAAGAGAAAAGUCCAUCCUAUGUGUAAAAAGAGCUCUGGGAGAUUGGUAAAUGGGAGUACAGAGCAGGGCCUAAGAGUGAGUAGGGACAAAAACACUGAUGUUAGAAAGGCAUCAUUUCUGGAAAGAAAGGAGGAUAAAAAGGGGAGUGCAAGAAGGAAAAAGUAUCCAGCAGGAAAAAUGAGAACCCAAACCAAAAGACUAUCCAUCACUACUGCCAUCAUGCACAAAAAAAGAAAAAAGUUAUUCAUUGAAAAAAAUCACACUAUGCUACAUUUUCAGAAGAGGUUUGCACUUGGACUAGAAAACACAAAAUAAUUAAUAGAUGAAAAAAUGCCUAUAUAAAUAUCCAAAGCUUCUUUAAAAAGAUAACAAACAUGAAAGUCAAAUAUUUCAGCUAAUGAAAUCCACACCACUGAACGAUAAAAUCUCACAAAACAGAAGAAAAUUAUGCAGAAUUAAAAGUUGAACUAAAUAUCCUCAAACGAGCAUUCAGAAAUAUUAAAAAAGCAAUUUAAACAAGAAAUUCAAAAACCA